rnacentral:tRNA from 1 species
UCCCUGGUGGCUCAGAGGGUAAAGCAUCUGCCUGCAAUGCGGGAGACCUGGGUUCAAUCCUUGGGUGGGGAA